UCCCUGGUGGCUCAGAGGUUAAAGCGUCUGCCUGCAAGCGGGAGACCCAGGUUCAAUCCCUGGGUCGGGAA
rnacentral:tRNA from 1 species